rnacentral:rRNA from 1 species
CAGAGGGUGCGAGCGUUGUUCGGAAUUACUGGGCGUAAAGCGCGCGCAGGCGGCCUUUUAAGUCUGACGGUGAAAUGCCGGGGCUCAACCCCGUGCCCGCCGGAGAUACUGGGCGGCUGGAGACGAGUAGAGGCAAGCGGAAUUCCGGGUGUAGCGGUGGAAUGCGUAGAGAUCCGGAAGAACACCGGAGGCGAAGGCGGCUUGCUGGGCUCGGUCUGACGCUGAGGCGCGAAAGCGUGGGGAGCGAACAGGAUUAGAUACCCUGGUAGUCCACGCCGUAAACGAUGGGCACUAGACGCGGGUGGGAUCGACCCCUUCCGUGUCGCAGCUAACGCGAUAAGUGCCCCGCCUGGGGAGUACGGCCGCAAGGCUG